CAGGCAGCACAGAUGGACAGGGGGCUGCAGGGAUGGCAGCUGGGAUGCUCUGCCCAGCUCCCUGGCACAGCUGGCAGCCUCCAGCAGGGAUCAUUUCCAGUUAGCAGAGCAUUUACUCUUUGAUCCAGCCUGUUCAACAGCCAGGAACUGCCUGGCUGUGUGUACACACCUGUGGGGGAGAGUCCCAGAGGUGCCAGGAGCUGCCAGGGCUUUACCUGCCUGAAUUCAGUGCAGGAGCCUCUGCUGCAGCCCAUCCCUGGCCUCACCAGAGCAGAGCCCUGCAUUUCAUUCCCCUCCUUGCUCCUUAUCAGCCUUAAUUGAGACCCAUUAGUUCAUUUCCUCCCUGCAGUGCUUCCUUUCCCUGCCAUGGGGAUGGGGAGCCUGGAUCUCCUGCAGCUCUGCUCAGCCUCCCUGGGGCCCAGAGCGUGUCCAGCUGUUGAUAAGCUGGGCUCAGUCUGCCCUGCCCAUGGCCAGGCACAGAUCCUGCCUGGGACUGCUCCAGAGAGCUCUGCUGCUUCACUGCUUCUUAACUCGCCUACAAAUCUGCCUAAAUUUAAGGACCCAGCUCCAAAUAAUGACCUGGCCCUGCCCUCUGGCAAUGUUUUGGCAUCAGGGCAUCCCCUCUCUGGGCCCAGUCUGUGGUGGAGCAGCUGAAGGAAUAAAAAUCCUCCAUAAAAGCAAAGCUGAGCCUGGGCAGGACAGUGCUGGCUGUGAGUCCCUGCUCUGGGAGUGCUGCUGGGCACCCAGCAAUGAAUCCUCUUUAAACCACAGCGCUGCACUGCUUCACCUGUGCAGGCACCCCCCUCCACACCUCAGAGAAGACAGGAAUCCAGAGGACACCUGCAGGUUCACACGUGUGCAAAGGAAAGCCAGAGCCUCCUAAAGCCCAGCCCUGAGCCCUGCAGUUGGUGCAGAGCCCUGAUUUUGGGACACAGCUCCAGCUCUCCUCCUCUGCCAGUGUCCCAGAGCUCCCAGCCAGCCUGGGAGUGAGGAGCUGCUGCCCAGCAAAGCCCGUCACAUCCCUGCAGCUCCCCUGGCGCCCUGAGAGGAGCUGGAAGGAGCUCAGCAUUCGGGGAAGAACAGAUAUUUUCAGGGCACUGACUUGUCCAAGUGUAGCUGGUGGGAAAGGAACUUGACUCAGGAAGGUGUCACAAAUAGGAUGUGAAAGGGAAAGGGAAUUUAACAUCACUGCCAUGCUCGAAAAGUGGGGGAAAAAAGGGGCUUUGAGGCAUUUAAGGCUGAUUGAUAUGAAAAUCAAGGAGCCAUCAGUGAUGUUUUGGGACACUAUAUUAAUUAUUUAAUAUUGGCAGUGCCCCAAACUGUCUUUGAAGCAGAGGAUGGGGUGAGGGACU